UCAUUCUAGGCGCCAAACUCUUUUCCUCCAUUCUCCUUUUAUCACAUUCGUUCCUUCUCUCACACGCUCUUUUCUAACCCUAAUUUAUGAUCUGUAUCAUCAUGUCUCAUACUUCUCAUCUUCUUCUUGAAUUCUCACCCAAAUCUAACACUAAUUUUUGUAUUGCUUUUCUAUUCGUGUUUCCUAAUCCCUAGAGGCUGGAAACAAACCCUAGAACUCUUCCGGUUGCAUCGCAAGCAAGAAUGAUGGCUUUUUAAGUCCACCAUCAUUAUAGAGAGCCUAUUCCAUUUAACACACCAGACGAAGACGGACAGUUCCUCUCUCUCUCUCUCUCUCACGGUGCUUUUGCGGCGGCGUCGCCGCCUCGACGGCAACUAGGAUUUCUACAGGGUUUAGAUUGGCAGGGAUAUUAUGAUUCCGACGAACCACCGUUGGUUGGUCGAAAAGUUCUGAAGAGAAAGGUUUUUUUUUGUUUUGUUUCUUUUUAUUGAAUUUGUAUGAAUAUGUGUUUUUUUCUUCGAAUAGGUAGGCCUUUCAAUCCUACUCCCAUUUUUUUUUUUUUGUAAUUUGCCACAUGAUUGAUUGUCUAAUAUUACAUUAGCUAAAUGUAAUAACUUUUUAGGGUUUCUGAGUGAAGUGAUUGAUUGUUUCAGUAAAGUGAUUGUUUUGGUAGUUUUUUUAAUUGAUUUUGGUAAUGUUGCGAUCCGAUAGGUGUUUUAUUGUUUCUUGAAUGGUACAAGAAUGCAGAAUUUGAUUGAAGUUCACAACAAACUCGAGUUUUCAUUUGAAACACUAUACCUGACAAUCGAUAUAGUUGGCAGAAUCUUGGCUUCAGCGGACAAGUUGUAGCAGCGUCUCCUAAGUGACAGAGAAAACCAUUGAGGUUUCACAUGUAAUGCGAUCCAGCCGUCUUUACCUAGCAAAGCUGUGUAUGAUUACGAGGGGUGUGGCGUCAUUGUGAGUUUAAAUUUCUUCGUUUGCAGGGUUACUCUCAUCAGUAUUCUUGAAGUUGGAUGACGCUUUGAGAAAAGAAUUUUGCCCAGAAAAAGUUGCCAUACACAUCUCAAAUUCAAAUAACCAAGUUUGAAGAACAAUGGACUAAUUGCAAAGUAGAUGGAUGGAAGGAUAAGGCUCAAGAAAAUGAAUAUGUUCGUGAGCAAAAUACACCAGUUGAUCUAGACGAUUAUGGCAGAGUUGAUGAAUUGGUUGAACCUGGUACUAAAUAUCUAAAUGAGGACUCUCGGAUACAACCACAAAGAUUUCAGAACAUAUGGUGGGAGACAUUGUCUCUUGUAGAUUCAGAAGCUGAGCAGGAAAAAAAGCCAGAAACUCAUGCAGAGCAUUCCGGAAUUGCCUUCCCAAGUAGACGCAGAAUUGUAUUAUCACUUGCACAACUCAAUGAGGCAACAACAACUUUAGUCGUGAUUUUGAGAGACUUAGGGGUUAGAACAAUGAAGUUGAUGACAAACAACCCUGCUAAGUAUAGUGGGCUCAAGGCUUGAUUGACUCACAUUCUUUACUUACCCUCAUCAGCUUUUUUUAACUGAUAUUUAUAUAAUACUUUUUAUUGGAUGGCAUAUGAUGUUUAUGACCAUUUUGGUGAUAAUUUUGAUACAAUAAUGGAUGUUAUAACAUAAAUAUUCAACGAGAAACAAAAAAUAAUUGAGGUAAGUUUACAAAACUCA